CAAUAGCGUAUAUUAAAGUUGUUGCAGUUAAAAAGCUCGUAGUUGGAUUUCUGUGAGAGUGCCGGUGUCGGCUGAUGCUUGUACGCAGGCGCUCUUACAUCCUUCUGUUAACUGUUCUUGGCAUUUUAUUGCUGGUUCAGGGCUCAGAUAUUUUACCUUGAGAAAAUUAGAGUGUUUCAGGCAGGCUUAUGCCGGAAUACAUUAGCAUGGAAUAAUGGAACAGGACCUGUGCGUCUCUCGGGGCGCCGGUCUCCGUUGUUGGUUUCGGGGACUAAUGUAAUGAUUAAUAGGGAUAGUUGGGGGCAUUAGUAUUUAAUAGUCGGAGGUGAAAUUCUCGGAUUUGUUAAAGACUAACUUAUGCGAAAGCAUUUGCCAAGGAUGUUUUCAUUAA
rnacentral:rRNA from 1 species